rnacentral:rRNA from 1 species
GACGAACGCUGGCGGCGUGCUUAACACAUGCAAGUCGAACGGAAAGGCCCUGCUUUUGUGGGGUGCUCGAGUGGCGAACGGGUGAGUAACACGUGAGUAACCUGCCCUUGACUUUGGGAUAACUUCAGGAAACUGGGGCUAAUACCGGAUAGGAGCUCCUGCUGCAUGGUGGGGGUUGGAAAGUUUCGGCGGUUGGGGAUGGACUCGCGGCUUAUCAGCUUGUUGGUGGGGUAGUGGCUUACCAAGGCUUUGACGGGUAGCCGGCCUGAGAGGGUGACCGGCCACAUUGGGACUGAGAUACGGCCCAGACUCCUACGGGAGGCAGCAGUGGGGAAUAUUGACAAUGGGCGGAAGCCUGAUGCAGCAACGCCGCGUGCGGGAUGACGGCCUUCGGGUUGUAAACCGCUUUCGCCUGUGACGAAGCGUGAGUGACGGUAAUGGGUAAAGAAGCACCGGCUAACUACGUG